rnacentral:tRNA from 1 species
AGGGGUAUAGGUCAGUGGUAGAGUGAGUGCUUAGCAUAAGCACAAGGUCCUGGGUUCAAUCCCCAGUACCUCCA